UAAACAUUUGAUGCUUUUAUAAACCUUAUUCUGUCAUUCGUUUAACAAUAGGCAAAGCAACAUAUUAUUUAGCAUCUGAUGCUUAAAAACAAAGAAUAAAUAAUAUUAGACAGCGAGCAAAAUUGAUGAGAGUAAAUUACAGAAAUGCAACAGUUAGAAUUAGAGAUUAGAAAAUCAGAAAUUAGGCAAAAAGGAUGAUAGAACACAAAAUUUUAGAUUUAUUAUUUGAAACAGAAUGAAUAUAAUGUGACUAUUGUUCUAGAUUGUUAGAAAACACACUGCAAAUAAUCAAAAGAAUUAGAAAGAGGGUUAGAAAACGCAGGCCUGAGAAGGGGUAAUCGUGUGAUCACUGCCCUAGAACAAUAGUCGCCGCCUUCGCAGAGACGAUUUGAUGCAACUACGUCUAGCGGUAAGAACCCCCCGAGAAAGCCGACACCAAAGUUUACUGCGAAACUUUGAUCUCUUGCUCAAUGGAUGUUUGCCCAAAAUUAAAA